UGAAACUAAUUUUUAAAUCUCUAAUUUCAUCAAAUCUAACCUAUUCAUGAAAUUAAAAAGAUGAAUUUUUUCGUACCUAUUUGAAGUCAUAUUGGUCGAUUAACUAGUGUUUGAUUGUUCAAUUCUUUUUCUUCUUGGGAUUGAUCAUCAUCAUUAGUCAUCAUCGAAGAAGAUGAAGAAGUGGGCAAAGAAAAAAAGGAAGAGAUUUUAUUUAGUUUUUUGUUUAUGUUUAUGUUUAUGUUUAGUUUUUGAUUUUUAACUAGAUUUACGUUAGUUAUUAAUGGUAAUUUUAUAAAUUAUGAGUGUGAUUUUCAUUUUUAUAAUAAUUAAAUCUCCUUAUCUACUUAUAGGAUAUUUGAAUCUAUAUGAGCCCUCAAAAUCAAAAUCUUGAAGCCCUUAUAAUAGGAUUCUUCUACAAAACCUAAGCAGUUUUUCUCCACCUGUCCGAACUCAUCCGCAAAGUCGAGAGCUAAUCAUACAUGCCACUCUUGUAGUUAAUGAAGCUCUUUAUUGGAUGGCAAAUGUUGAAUCUAGGGCUAUACCAUACGAAGACUCGUAAGUUAUUGUUUACUUCGAUAUCGAGAAAGAGUAGUUCGAUGAAAUGUCAUUGCCUGACUGAUCGGUGAAAGAUUUGAAACAAGUUUGUGCCUUUCAGGAUGGUCUCUUUGCUUGCUUGGUUUCGGUCCUAAGGUGUUGAUAUGUGGGAGAUGAAGUAUGAAUGAGCUGAAAAAUCAUGGACCAAGAUUCAACAUUGACAUGCAAAAUCAAUUUUGGUU